GAUGAACGCUGGCGGCGUGCCUAAUACAUGCAAGUCGAGCGAACAGACGAGGAGCUUGCUCCUCUGACGUUAGCGGCGGACGGGUGAGUAACACGUGGAUAACCUACCUAUAAGACUGGGAUAACUUCGGGAAACCGGAGCUAAUACCGGAUAAUAUAUUGAACCGCAUGGUUCAAUAGUGAAAGACGGUUUUGCUGUCACUUAUAGAUGGAUCCGCGCCGCAUUAGCUAGUUGGUAAGGUAACGGCUUACCAAGGCAACGAUGCGUAGCCGACCUGAGAGGGUGAUCGGCCACACUGGAACUGAGACACGGUCCAGACUCCUACGGGAGGCAGCAGUAGGGAAUCUUCCGCAAUGGGCGAAAGCCUGACGGAGCAACGCCGCGUGAGUGAUGAAGGUCUUCGGAUCGUAAAACUCUGUAUUAGGGAAGAACAAAUGUGUAAGUAACAAUGCACGUCUUGACGGUACCUAAUCAGAAAGCCACGGCUAACUACGUG
rnacentral:rRNA from 1 species